UUACGGUCAAAUCACGCUGAAACACCGGUUCUCGUUCGAUCACCGAAGUUAAGCAUCGUAGAGCCAGGUCAGUACUUAGAUAGGGGACCGCUUGGGAACACCUGGUAUUGUAAG
rnacentral:rRNA from 1 species